UACGUAGGGGGCAAGCGUUGUCCGGAAUCAUUGGGCGUAAAGAGCGUGUAGGCGGCCCGAUAAGUCCGCUGUGAAAGCCCAGGGCUCAACCCUGGGAUGCCGGUGGAUACUGUCGGGCUCGAGUCCGGAAGAGGAGUGUGGAAUUCCUGGUGUAGCGGUGAAAUGCGCAGAUAUCAGGAGGAACACCUAUAGCGAAGGCAGCUUGCUGGGACGUUACUGACGCUAAGGCGCGAAAGCGUGGGGAGCGAACAGG
rnacentral:rRNA from 1 species